rnacentral:rRNA from 1 species
UUUUUUAAGAGUUUGAUCCUGGCUCAGGAUGAACGCUGGCUGUGUGCCUAAUACAUGCAUGUCGAGCGGGGUUUUUUAAACCUAGCGGCGAAUGGGUGAGUAACACGUGCUUAAUCUACCUUUUAGAUUGGAAUACCUGAUGGAAACAUUAGUUAAUGCCGGAUACGCAUGGAAUCGCAUGAUUCCGUUGUGAAAGGGGCCUCAAAGCCCCACUAAGAGAUGAGGGUGCGGAACAUUAGUUAG